CCAUGUUCGCGCACAGCACCUCAUUGAAAGUAAACAGUCGUUCCUGCAGCAACUACUCACUGCGGUUAAAGCAGGUCGAAUUAUUGAGUACUGAGACUUCUGACUACGGGUUCUGCUGCUGCUGCUGCUGCUGCUAGGAGACCAUGACUUCACUCACUCUGAAAGGAGUGACAGUGAACUUCCCAUUUGUUCCAUAUGACUGUCAGAAGGACUACAUGAGCAAAGUGAUAGAGUGUCUCCAGGAGAAGGCCAAUGGGGUUCUGGAGAGUCCGACAGGUACCGGUAAAACUCUGUGCCUGCUCUGUGCCACCCUGGCCUGGAGGGAGCGCUUCAAGGACACCAUCUCUGCUCGCAAGAUCACAGAGAAGCUGAAAGGAGAGGAGAUGUUCUCCAACACCCCGCUGUCCUCCUGGGGGACGGCUGCCACAGACGGAGACACACCAACCUACUACACUGAUGUUCCCAAGAUCAUUUACGCAUCCAGGACACACUCUCAGCUGGCUCAGGUUAUCAAGGAGUUAAAGAAUACUUCCUACAAGCCAAAGGUGUGUGUUCUGGGAUCGAGAGAGCAGCUGUGUAUCAACCCUGAAGUCAUGAAACAGCAGAGCAACCAUGUUAAGGUCCAUUCGUGCAGAGCCAAAGUUUCCACAAGAUCAUGUGUCUACUACAAUAACGUGGAAGAGAAGAGCACUGACAAAGAGUUGGUGAAUUCAGUCCUCGACGUGGAAGACUUGGUCAAAUUUGGCAACAAACAGAGGGUCUGUCCUUACUACCUGUCCCGGUCCCUGAAGCAGCAGGCAGACAUUGUUUUCACGCCGUACAACUACCUGCUGGAUCCAAAGAGCCGCAGAGCGCACAACAUCGAGCUGAACGGAGCGGUGGUCAUCUUCGAUGAAGCUCACAAUGUGGAGAAGACGUGUGAAGAAUCCACAUCCUUUGACCUGACUCCAUAUGAUGUGGCCUCCGCCAUCACUGCUGUGGACCGGCUGCUGGCGGAGCAGGCGAAAGAGGCCAGCCAUGGAGACACUGUCAGUGACUUCAACGUGGAGUCCCUCAACUCUGGUUUAAAAUUGGAAUUAGCUACCAUUGCUAAAAUUAAACAGAUACUGCUGGAUCUGGAAACCGUCAUCGAUUCCUAUGAUGUUCCAAAUGAAGUAGGCAUCACAAAACCUGGAAUCUUCAUCUAUGAGCUGCUGGAGAGAGCCCAUCUGACCUACAGCUCCAAGACGGCUGUGCAGGAGGCUCUGGAGCAGAUCACUGGAUACCUCGCAGGACAGCCGGGGGUGUUUGUGAACACAAGUGGACUGCAGCAGCUGACUAAUAUCAUACAGCUGGUGUUCUGUGGGGAACCAUCAGAAAAGGAGAAACAGCAGCAGAUGGAGACCAACACGGCUCAUUUUAAGGUUCAUAUCCAUCAAGACACCAGCCAUCAGAAGAAAAACCAGAGCACGGAUGUCUGGGCUUCAUCAUCAUCAUCAUCAAAGAAACAAGGCAACAUCUUGAGUUACUGGUGCUUCUCUCCGGGCUACAGCAUGCAGAGCCUGGUGGAUCAAGGGGUCCGCUGCAUCAUUCUGACCAGCGGGACCCUCUCCCCCCUCUCCUCCUUCACCUCUGAGAUGAGGAUAAAGUUCCCUGUGAGUCUGGAGAACAGUCAUGUGAUCGAGCGGGACCAGAUCUUUGUGAGCGUCAUCGAGCGCGGCCCGGAUGGAGAGCAGCUCAGCUCAGCGUUUGCUAGAAGAUUUAUUCCUGAAAACAUGUCAUCUUUAGGCAAAACAGUUGCUAACCUGAGCCGAGUGAUUCCUCAUGGCCUCCUGGUGUUCUUUCCAUCCUUCUCUGUGAUGGAAACAACCCUGGACUUCUGGAGAGCUAACGGACAUGCAGAUCGCAUUGAGACUGUAAAGCCCAUGUUUGUUGAACCUAGAGGAAAGGGCACCUUUAAUGAGGUUAUGGACGGAUAUUACAACAAAGUCAAUGAUCCAUCAUCCAAAGGGGGAAGCUUUUUCGCUGUGUGUCGAGGAAAGGCGAGUGAGGGUCUGGAUUUUGCAGACACCUUUGGUCGGGGUGUGGUCAUCACCGGCCUUCCUUUCCCCCCGAGGAUGGACCCUCGAGUCGUCCUGAAGAUGCAGUUCCUGGAUGAGAUGUGUCGGAAGAAAGCUCCUGGGGUGAAGUACCUGUCUGGGCAGGAGUGGUACAGCCAGCAGGCUUUCAGAGCUGUGAACCAGGCCAUUGGCAGAGUCAUUCGCCACAAGGACGACUACGGAGCCAUCCUGCUGUGUGAUCAGAGGUUUAAAAGCUCUAAUGCACGGGCCCAGCUUCCCUCCUGGGUCAGGCCUUACGUGCGUGUGUACAGCAGCUUUGGGAAUGUGAUCCGAGACCUGUCCCAGUUCUUCAGGGUGGCCCAGAAACUGAGGCCUGUGGCAGAGAAGAAGGGUGCAGCAGAGAGCUGUGAGGCAGUGUGUCUAUCAGCCCCUCUGUCCUCCUGCUCCACUUCCUGCUCACCAUCCCAAAGCUCCAUCACCCAGAAGGCCAAGGUGCUGGACGCCCACCUCCCCAGCCUGAAGAGGAGGAGACUGAAUGACCACUCUGGAGCCGCUGGGAUGGCCAGGAUCUGUGUGGAGUAUGAGUGUGAGCUGCAGGAGAGUCAGAGGAGGCCCGCCAACCUGCUGGAUGCUCUGGAGCGGGGGGACCACCACAGUGGGGAGGACGAGGGUGCUGCUGUGGGAGAAGAGAAGGCAAACCAUUUGUCCACACUGUCUCUGCAGUGUGACAAGAGGAUGGACGAUGAAAUGCGGGGAGGAAAACGUAAAAUCAAACUUGUCCAGCAACAGAAGAAGUCGCAGGUGUCGGAGGUGGUCUCUGGGGAGGGGACCUCCAGCAGGGUGAAGGGUUUCCUGGCAGAGAUGAAGAAGUCUCUGAGCCAGUGCAACUUUGAGCAGAUCGUUCAGACUCUGCAGACCUACAAGAAGACUGACGACCUGGAUGUGCUGCUGACGGACACAGCGGUGCUGACGGAGGACGCCAACACCUACAGCCUGCUCCGCGGCCUGUACCAGUUCAUCCGGCCCCAUCACAAGCAGAGGUUUGACGAGCGGUGCAGGGAACUGACGGCGGGGGGCUGCGGCUACGAGCCCAGCCACUCUCUGUCUGUGGAGGAGAAGAAGGCCCUGCUGAACAGCGCUGCAAUCAGACGGCCUGCUGUGGGUGUGAAACCCCCCCCCUCCCCCUCCACCUCCACCUGCAGUCAGCUGAACACAGAGCAGCUCAACAAGGGAGGACUCCACCUGAGCCAGAGGCCUCACACUGCUGCAGUCAGACGGCAUGCUGUGGGUGUGACCCCCCCCCCCCUCCACCUGCAGUCAGCUGAACACAGAGCAGCUCAACAAGGGAGGACUCCACCUGAGCCAGAGGCCUCACACUGGUCCUGCUCUGAAGAGUGAGGCCCACGCUUCCUUUCAGGCUGAUGUGAAGAAGGCCAUCGGAGCAGAGAAGACGGCGCUGCUGCUGCAGGCCAUCCAGAGCUACAAGAGGAGCGACUGCUACGAGGCCCUGGUGGGCACCGCCGUGAGCCUGUUCACAGAGAGGGACCAGGACUUCCAGCUGCUAGUCCGAUUUGGCACGUUUAUUCCCCCCCGCCAUAAGAAGCAGUACAAAGAGAUGUUGCAGGCUCUGACGGGCCAGUCCUCCUCUGCUGAGGUUCCUGCUGUGACUGAAGACGAGCAAAGACACGGGGAAACACUGACACCAUUGAGAUUCCACUGUCUUCAUCACACCUAGAACAAUGACAGAGCUCUUCAAACCAGAAGCUGCUUCAUCUUCCCCACCUCUCAAGACCCAAAGCAAGAUUUCCAGUUUUUUCUCCAGCAGCCAAAGAAAGUAGAAUAUUUCACAGCUGCCUGGGCCUAGUGGCCCACAGGCGGCGUUUAUCCAGCUGACUCCACCUCCAUCUGUGCCUGCCCCCAGGUCAAGAUCUACCGUGGCUCAAGGGCCUUCACCAGAGCCAACACCAUCAAGGACCAGAGGACCAGCAUCACUACAGCGGCCUCCAUCUCCAUCUGUGCCUGCCACAAGAUUAAGAUACCCCUCGGUACAAAGGCCUCCACCACAGCCAUCACGAUCAACCCAGCCAGCAAAGAAGUCUCGCCUAUCACACGUACCUCCCGCACAGCCACCAGCAUCAACCCGGGACAAUCCCACCUACCUCCCUCCGACACAGCCACCAGCAGCCCAUGCACCAUCAGCUGCACCUACACAGCAGCCAGACCCACUGUCUUGGAAGACAGACAAAGACCAUGCCACUGCUCCCCCUGCCUUUACGUUUAUAAUGAAUAGUUGGUUGAAAAAGUUCUGUUAUUGUAAAUAUUGAGAUUUUACAGUUUCUUAUAAAUAGUUGGUUGAAAAAUAAAGUUCUAAUGCUCAA